UUGACCUCAAAUCAGGUAGGACUACCCGCUGAACUUAAGCAUAUCAAUAAGCGGAGGAAAAGAAACUAACAAGGAUUCCCCUAGUAACUGCGAGUGAAGCGGGAAAAGCUCAAAUUUAAAAUCUGAGGGUCCUUGCGGCCUUCCGAGUUGUAAUCUAGAGAAGUGCUAUCCGCGCUGGACCGUGUACAAGUCUCCUGGAACGGAGCGUCAUAGAGGGUGAGAAUCCCGUCUUUGA
rnacentral:rRNA from 1 species